rnacentral:rRNA from 1 species
GGACUACACGGGUAUCUAAUCCUGUUCGCUCCCCACGCUUUCGCUCCUCAGUGUCAGGUAAGGCCCAGAGAACCGCCUUCGCCACCGGUGUUCCUCCUGAUAUCUGCGCAUUUCACCGCUACACCAGGAAUUCCAUUCUCCCCUACCUACCUCUAGUCUGCCCGUAUCCACUGCAGGCUCAGGGUUAAGCCCUGAGUUUUCACAGCGGACGCAACAGACCACCUACGAGCUCUUUACGCCCAAUAAUUCCGGACAACGCUUGCGCCCUACGUGUUACCGCGGCGGCUGGCAC